GUGUUCUCUCGCUCUCUUUCAAAACUUUUACAUUAUUGUUUCUGUUUCUCUGUUUCAUAUGAUGGAUGAUUUGGGAUGUGAACUUACAGGUAAUAAUAAUAAGAAGAAAGAAUUCUUACCUCCCGUAAUUGUAAAGUACCAUUCUUGUCUUAUAUAAUCGUAGAAAGACUUAGCAUUUUUGGUCAAUAGAUUUUGUGAAACUUGAUAAAAAGAGUUUAUGAAGUUGUGUUGAAAGAUAGUUUUUGGAACUUGAAGUUGUGUUUGGACGUGCAUUUUACUUGGAAAAAUUUGAAGUUUUGUGAGUGGAAGAAAAAUUUCACCCAAACUGGUCCAAUCUUGCAAUUCUUUAGAGAUUGCAUCCAGAUACAUGUGCAAUGUGAUGGUGUCCUCGCCUGUACGCAUGAAUGUAUGUGUCACUGGGCGCCAUCUCUCAAGAAGUGUAGUAAUGAGGGCCCGAAUCAAGAGAGUCCGAGUAUCCAGCGGUGCAGUUAUUGGCAGAGCAGAUGAGCAACAUUUCGGUGGAGUCUAUGAAUGCUGCCGCCCAGGGGACAAGGUUGACAUUUGAUCCAGACUAUACACCACCGGCACAGUACCAGCCACUGCCUAAUGUGCCCAUGCGGCGAGGUUCCAUAUUACCCAGCUAAGGAUAUGGUCACUACACCAGCCUAUCAGCCUCACUUCGAGCCAUUACUCACCUCACAUUGAUGUGCUUUUGAGAAUCUCGUAAGUUCCACAGCUCUGCGUAUUAUUUUGUUUCUUGCAAUCUCUGGGGUAAUAUAUUCUCUUUUCAAUUUUGUGAUACAUUAAAAUUUGGUAAUUAGCUGGUCAUGUCGUACUGAAUACCGUGUCUUGCAGUGGUGUUAUCUGGAGAAGGCUCUGGUGUUUAGGUAGAGGGUUCUCCUCCUAUCACCGAGGCAGUUUCAACUCCUCUUGCUGCCGACUGUGGCAUUUCAUUGCAGCAAAACUUGUCCCAGUUGGAUAUGGUAUAAAGAAACUGCAAAUCAUGCUUACCAUUGUGGAUGACUUGGUGUCUGUCAAUGAUCUCGUUGAGAAUUAUCUGACAGUAGAACCAAUUAACCAGUACGUCCAGAGCUGCGAUAUUGUGGGCUUUCAACAAAAUAUGAAUUUGUUACUGCAUUGAGGUGAUGGAAACGAGUGAUGAAUCAUGAUGGAGUUUUACUUUUAUCGCCCUCCCUAUAGACUUCAGAUUUUGUUUUUCCUAAGGAAGUUGGAUCUGAUAUGGUCCAUCUAUUUUGUUCCUGGGGAUGGAUUUUUUGAAUUUGAGAAGAGUUGUAUUCAAUCCAUGAUUUAAUUCACCUUACACGUGGUGAUUGCAAUAUGAUGUCCAAGUUAUUAGAUAUCUGCAAUGCAACUAUGGUUGCAGCGUUGAUGUAUGAGCUAAAACACCUAUCAAAGUAACUUGUAAGAGAACACUCCCAACAAACUUUUGAGUUUAUUCUUUUCUGGAUCUUCAAUAUUGUGAUUUAUCUACCAUGGAGGUCUAUCUGCGUAAUAACUUGAUUAAGUGUUCUAAAAGUUUAAACCCGUGAACUUGAGACAGGUAAAACGAAAGAAGUACUAUGGCCAAAUUUGAUGGAAGAAAGGCGUCAAGGUCAAUGUGUUUUUCAGGACGAUUGAUAAAUGUGUGCUAGGUAUGUGUGAUGUGUAAAAAAGAUUUGACCGGAAGAUGGGAAAGCAUGUAUUGCCCAGAACAAAAUUUCAAAAUGUUAUCUAUGGUCUAUAUACCAUGAAGAGUGAUGACAAAAACAAGUUGCAGAAACCGCUAUACAGCUCAACUCUGAAAUUUAUUAUUUGCAGAAAUCAAAGCACAUUCUCCAGUGACAAUUUCGCCUUUUAAAAUCUCUCUUAUCAGCCUCCACCAUCAUGGCAGGGCUGCCGGCCCACUCUGUGGUUAGUCUGUUUGAUAAGAAUUUAACCUCAGUAAAUAUAUGAGAUUGAGGAUCAAUUGUGAGAAAUAGUUUAGCAGAAACUUACACAGGAAAUGCAAAAGAUUUUGUGCUGUUGGUGCUACUCGACCGAACAGAGAUGUUAUCAUGACAUUGCUUCGUUGCUGAGACCGCUACAAGAUUCGAGUCUUCAUGAUCUGGAAGCUUUUCAGUGUUCUGACUCGCAAACAAUGAUGCUAAACUUCUUGGUGUUCCAUAUUCAAUGCUUGUGCUGUUUUCUGCCUUUGUAUUUGGUACUGAUCCUUCUCUAGAAAUUGAAUCUGCUACACUAUUUUUGUCACAACAUGCUUCCUUGGAGACUAACUUAGAGGCCAUUGAGACUGGUUUCAUCUCUUUAUCCUAUAAAAAGAGCUCUCUGUCCAAACUCGGCCGUUUUGGAAAAUCAUGGCUAAAGGAAAUGGCAUCAGCAAUCUCAGUUACUGAAGCUUUAGAUUCCAUCAAUAGCUUCUUAGAGUCGUCAAACUGCUUAACAAUGCCCUCAUACG